AUCGAGGAUGGAGGUACGAAAGGAGACAACUCCGCUGAGAGGAGGGUUCGCCGUCCCUAUUAGAUAGAUGGGCGGGGUAACGGCCCACCAUGUCAACGAUGGGUAGCCGAGCUGAGAGGCUGAUCGGCCACACUGGAACUGAGACACGGUCCAGACUCCUACGGGAGGCAGCAGUGGGGAAUAUUGGGCAAUGGGCGCAAGCCUGACCCAGCAACGCCGCGUGAGGGAAGAAGGCUUUCGGGUUGUAAACCUCUGUCCUUGGUGACGAACCAAAUGACGGUAGCCAAGGAGGAAGCCCCGGCUAACUACGUG
rnacentral:rRNA from 1 species